rnacentral:tRNA from 1 species
GAUUCUUUCGCACAAUAGUGGUGCAACCAACUCAUAAUUGGAAGCUCGAGGUUCAAUUCCUCAAGGGUCA